UGGGGGAUAUUGCACAAUGGGCGAAAGCCUGCUGCAGCGACGCCGCGUGGGGGAUGAAGGCCUUCGGGUUGUAAACUUCUUUUGCUCUGAACAAGGCAUGCCUUUGGGGUGUGUUGAGUGUAGGGGUUGAUUAGCGCCGGCUAACUACGUGCCAGCAGCCGCGGUAAUACGUAGGGCGCGAGCGUUGUCCGGAAUUAUUGGGCGUAAAGGGCUUGUAGGUGGCUGGUUGCGUCUGGCGUGAAAGCUCAUGGCUUAACUGUGGGUUUGCGGUGGGUACGGGCUGGCUUGAGUGCAGUAGGGGGGGCUGGAAUUCCUGGUGUAGCGGUGGAAUGCGCAGAUAUCAGGAGGAAUACCGGUGGCGAAGGCGGGUCUCUGGGCUGUUACUGACGCUGAGGAGCGAAAGCGUGGGGAGCGAACAGG
rnacentral:rRNA from 1 species